GCUAACGCAGUGCACGCAGCAGGAGUAAGGAAGAGGGGGGGACAGUUGCGCGGAAGCACUGAGCGUAAAGGGAACGUAGGUGGCGGUCCAAGUCUGUGGGGGAAGCUGGAGGCUUAAGAUCGAGGCGGCCACGUGGACGGGAGGGCUGGAGCACUGGAGGGGCAGAUGGAAGUCCGGGUGUAGCGGUGGAAGGCGUAGAGAUCCGGAAGAACACCGGUGGCGAAGGCGGUCUGCUUGGCAGUAGCUGACACUGAGGCGCGACAGCGUGGGGAGCAAACAGGAUUAGAUACCCGGGUAGUC
rnacentral:rRNA from 1 species